AUACGGGUGGUGCAAGCGUUAAGCGGAAUUACUGGGCGUAAAGCGCGCGUAGGCGGUUUGCUCAGUCGGAUGUGAAAGCCCAGGGCUCAACCUUGGAACUGCAUACGAUACUGGCAAACUAGAGUGUGAGAGAGGAUAGUGGAAUUUCCGGUGUAGCGGUGAAAUGCGUAGAUAUCGGAAGGAACAUCAGUGGCGAAGGCGACUGUCUGGCUAAACACUGACGCUGAGGUGCGAAAGCGUGGGUAGCAAACAGGAUUAGAAACACUAGUAGUCC
rnacentral:rRNA from 1 species